GGAGAAGUGGCCGAGUGGCUUAAGGCGCACGCCUGGAACGCGUGUUGAGGGCAACCUCUCGCAGGUUCGAAUCCUGUCUUCUCCGCCA
rnacentral:tRNA from 1 species